AGGAUUUGGUUUAGAAUUUAGCACUUGUAUAGAGUUUGAUUUAGGAUUUAGAAUUUAGGAUUUAGAAUUUUUUUGAGGUUUGAUUUAGGAUUUAGGAUUUGAUUUAGGGUCUAGGAUUUGAUUUAGGAUUUUCUAAGAUUUGAUUUAGGAUUUGGUUUAAGGUCUAGGAUUUGAUCUAGGAUUUGUUUAGGAUUUGAUUGAAAUCCAUUAGGAUUUCAGUUAGGAUUAAAUUAGAACUUGAUUGAAAUUUAUGUAAGAUAUAUUUGUGAUUAUUAUAAUAUUUUUUAGAGAUUCUUAAGGAUUCUUUUAAGAUUUAUUAUAGAUUUUUUUUAGUUCUUUGAAGAUUUUUUAUUGUUUCUUUUGUAAUUU
rnacentral:lncRNA from 1 species